rnacentral:tRNA from 1 species
GGGCCCAUAGCUCAGCGGCAGAGCGACGGACUCAUAAUCCGUGGGUCGGAGGUUCGAAUCCUCCUGGGCCCA